UCUGAAACCCUAGAUAUCACAGCGUGUAUACUACUCUUUUCUAACGACAACCGGUGCUUGAAUCAUUGACGAUCUAGAGGAUACGAUCAUCAGAUAUGUGGAGAGCAUAAAGAAUCUGGAAUCGUUAGGCAUGGCUUUCUUGCAUCGUCUUUACAUGAGGCAGAUUCGAUUACGAAUAAAUCGUUGGAAUGCAACGGGAAAUCAUAAGGUCAAUGACAAUUGAGCUCCAUUAAUGCAAAAUAAUUACAAUCAAUUCACCCAUACCGUAGUUUGAUAACAUUGCUGCCAGGAUUCAUCAUCAGAUUGUGAAGAAACCCCAUUGCCACCGACCAAAACAAGCAAAUAUUUAGCCCAAUGCUGCCACAGUUACUGUAUUAGCAAAUCUUUGCAGCUACCAUCCUAUGAGGUCAAGUUCUUUGAGCUCACUCUUGACAACUUCGGAAUGCUUCAGUGUACGGAAUGGGAACCCAAUGGUUCAUUCAACAAAUUAAGUGGAACCACUUCUGCCAGUGGUCAAGGUGUUAAUUAUUCUCAGGAGAGAUUUCUGAUUCUACAUUGCCACCUAACCCACGUAAAGUUGUCUUGUAUCGUUCACCCAUCACUCACGUUUUGGCGGUUGUGAAGUUGUAAGGCAUGUGACUUUGUUUUGUGCUCUCGAUGAAAGGUUCUGGCCACUGUGUUUGAUGAGCUCUCUCUUGAUGGAGUUCUUUUACUCUACUUAUCUGCUCCAGUUAUUGCAAGCUCCACAUGAUGAUGCUGAACUGAUAAUACGUGAACGUUUCCUGUCCCAAGAUUAGUGGUGUGCGAUCAACAUAGUUCUCAGGUAUAUGUUUUAUCACAGACUACGCACAAGUCAAAUGGGUCGAAUUGGUUGAAAUCGAGUUGAAACAUAAAAGUCCUAAGGAAGCAGCACGGAUGGGAAGGAAAAUACAAAGUGAGCACCCUGAUAUUGUAAGUGCUGAUUGGGAAACUGUUAAGACACAGGUGAUGUAUAAAGUAGUGAAAUGCAAGUUCUCAAUUUACACACAUUGAAUUCAAUGCCUUAUUAAUAGCGGGCUGUGUACUGGUUGAAGAUUCUCCUCAUGAUCUCCUUUGGGGUGGGGUCCCGACGGUGAAGGUUUCAAUUUGUAAAUCUAACUUUCAAGCCAACGCGUUGCUAGUUAUUUCACACCUGAUACUUAUGCAAACAAAGAUCCAGCACUCGCCACAAGGCUGGCAGCGGGAUUAUGUGUUGAUCUUGCUUCUGCCAUAUAUUCCGUGCGCGCUAAAAGUGGGUUUGCUCUGGUGCGUCCUCCAGGUCAUCAUGCUGGCGUAAAACAUGCGAUGGGAUUCUGCCUUCACAAAAAAGUUAAUUCUUGAUUAGGAUGUACACCAUGGAAAUGGCACUCAAGAAAUAUACAAGCAGAACAAAACGGUG